UACGGGGGGGGCAAGCGUUGUUCGGAAUUACUGGGCGUAAAGGGCUCGUAGGCGGCCAACUAAGUCAGACGUGAAAUCCCUCGGCUUAACCGGGGAACUGCGUCUGAUACUGGAUGGCUCGAGUUUGGGAGAGGGAUGCGGAAUUCCAGGUGUAGCGGUGAAAUGCGUAGAUAUCUGGAGGAACACCGGUGGCGAAGGCGGCGACCUGGUCCUUGACUGACGCUGAGGCGCGAAAGCGUGGGGAGCAAACAGG
rnacentral:rRNA from 1 species